UUUUCUUGUUAGUUUUUGAAGUAUGGCCUGCCCACUGAUUGAAGGGCCGCGGUAUUUUGACCGUGCAAAGGUAGCAUAGUCAUUAGUUCUUUAAUUGUGAUCUGGUAUGAAUGGCUUGACGAGACAUGGGCUGUCUUUUUGAAUUUGGGGUUUAAGUUAAAAUUCUUAGAUGUUUUUAUGGGACGAGAAGACCCUAUAGAGUUUGACAUUUGGUUCUUUUGUUUGUUUUAAAUUUUUGCGUUUGUUUUGUUGGGGUGAUGGGAGGAAUUUUUUAACUCCUCUUUGUUGGUAUAUUGAUUUAUAUUUAUUUUGAUCCAUUUAUUUUGAUUGUAAGAUUAAAUUACCUUAGGGAUAACAGCGUUAUCUUCCCUGAGAGUUCUUAUUGGCGGGGGGGUUUGCGACCUCGAUGUUGGAUUAAGGUUAAUUUUUGGUGUAGGAGCUGAAUUGAUUGGGUCUGUUCGACCUUUAAAAUCUU
rnacentral:rRNA from 1 species